CAAACGGAUCAAGGCUCGAACAUGGAUCCAAGGCCCAGGAUGCUGAGACCUCAUCUCAUUUUAAUACUCGCAGUCAUUGUUCUUGAUGGUACCAUGUUGGCUGACAGCUUAAAUAUAAGACUUGUCAAUACGUACGGGGUCUGUUCUGGUAGAGUGGAAAUCUAUCAUAACGGCCAGUGGGGAACAGUAUGUGAUGAUAAGUGGGAC